UACAGAGGUCUCAAGCGUUGUUCGGAUUCAUUGGGCGUAAAGGGUGCGUAGGCGGCGCGGUAAGUCGGGUGUGAAAUCUCGGGGCUUAACUCCGAAACUGCAUUCGAUACUGCCGUGCUUGAGGACUGGAGAGGAGACUGGAAUUUACGGUGUAGCGGUGAAAUGCGUAGAUAUCGUAAGGAAGACCAGUGGCGAAGGCGGGUCUCUGGACAGUUCCUGACGCUGAGGCACGAAGGUCAGGGAGCAAACGGG
rnacentral:rRNA from 1 species